AUUGAACGCUGGCGGCAGGCCUAACACAUGCAAGUCGAGCGGAUGAAGGGAGCUUGCUCCUGGAUUCAGCGGCGGACGGGUGAGUAAUGCCUAGGAAUCUGCCUGGUAGUGGGGGAUAACGUCCGGAAACGGGCGCUAAUACCGCAUACGUCCUGAGGGAGAAAGUGGGGGAUCUUCGGACCUCACGCUAUCAGAUGAGCCUAGGUCGGAUUAGCUAGUUGGUGGGGUAAAGGCCUACCAAGGCGACGAUCCGUAACUGGUCUGAGAGGAUGAUCAGUCACACUGGAACUGAGACACGGUCCAGACUCCUACGGGAGGCAGCAGUGGGGAAUAUUGGACAAUGGGCGAAAGCCUGAUCCAGCCAUGCCGCGUGUGUGAAGAAGGUCUUCGGAUUGUAAAGUACUUUAAGUUGGGAGGAAGGGCAGUAAGUUAAUACCUUGCUGUUUUGACGUUACCAACAGAAUAAGCGCCGGCUAACUUCGUG
rnacentral:rRNA from 1 species